rnacentral:rRNA from 1 species
UACGUAGGGUGCGAGCGUUGUCCGGAAUCAUUGGGCGUAAAGGGCUCGUAGGCGGUCCAUCGCGUCGGGAGUGAAACGCUGGGGCUUAACCCCAGUCCUGCUUUCGAUACGGGUGGACUAGAGGUAGGCAGGGGAGAAUGGAAUUCCUGGUGUAGCGGUGAAAUGCGCAGAUAUCAGGAGGAACACCUGCGGUGUAGACGGCUUUCUGGACCAUUGCUGACGCUGAGACACGAAAGCGUGGGUAGCAAACAGG